UGUCUAUUGUUAUCGGUCGUUCUCUACGUGCACCCGACGCCGCUUUUCCUAUAUCCAUAGGGUUUGACAGCCAAUCCUUGAUUCUUAUGUUUCCUAUAGAUAUAGAUUUUGUGUUAGUUUUGGAAGAGAGAAUAUUCGAAAAGCGUUGAAUUAUUGAUUUUUUGAAGGAGACGAUGCAUUUUAUUAAUUGUGAGGUAACCACGACAGAUUCUAGAUUGAUUUAGCCGGAAAGCUGAGGAUGAAUUCUAACCGGUGAGUCAGUGGAUCGAUGUCAGUGUGAAUCGUGGUCGAAACCAUGGAUGAAGCACAUGAUUCGACCCCAUGGCUUGAACCUACCGAUGGCAGCCUGUCUAUUUUUAGCAGGUAUGGUGAACCUUUUGCGAAGCAACCGAGAGAAAUCUUCCUCCAGAACGUUGAGCUGGAUUUAUAAGCAUGCGAAUAAACUCUUUUUAAUAUGCAGCACUAACCUGUUGAAUGCAUUGUGUUCGUGACAAGCAGUGAUUACAUUUGUUCUCUCGAGUUAGAUACAUUUUUUAUCAUUUCAACGAUCGUGUUACCGAUGAUAACCGCGUUAACCGCUGCUCGGUAUCGUUGUAGAUCAAGGGUGCUUUAAUAUAUUACUUUCUGGUCUCGCUGCUAACUCGAUGAAAACCGACCAGAAAGAACAAUGAAAGGGAAGCCAGAAAAUUUGUUGCAGUAACUGAUUCUCCUCGUAAAAAUUCCUUUUGUAUCUGAAUAAAAAUAUUCAAGCAGCCCAUACUUUUCCUAUAUUUCUUACUAAAUCACCAAAAAUUAACCAUCUUCACUCUACGUGUGUGGCAACAGAAAUAAAUUUAUGUUCUUACUCUCUUUCACUUUCAAAUAUUCUUCUAAAUAUAAAGUUAAAAGUUAAAAAAGCUAACAAUGUGAUGCUUUAAUAUAUUCUGUCAUCCAAAUAAGAGCAAAGGCACUUCCUUUGUUCUCCAAAUUCCUUAAUAACUCUUUAUCCUAAUCCUUAGCAACAAUCUAUGUAAAUAUUAGUAAAAAGUGUAUUAUAUUUUUU
rnacentral:misc_RNA from 1 species